CCGCCUGGGGACUACGGUCGCAAGAUUAAAACUCAAAGGAAUUGGCGGGGGCCCGCACAAGCAGCGGAGCGUGUGGUUUAAUUCGAUGCUACACGAAGAACCUUACCCGGGUUUGACAUCCAGGUUGUAGGGAGCCGAAAGGUAACCGACCCUUCGGGGAGCCUGGACAGGUGCUGCAUGGCUGUCGUCAGCUCGUGUCGUGAGAUGUCCGGUUAAGUCCGGUAACGAGCGCAACCCUUGCUGUAUGUUAUACGUGUCAUACGGGACUGCCGGUUUAGUGCCGGAGGAAGGCGGGGAUGACGUCAAGUCAGCAUGGCCUUUAUAUCCGGGGCUACACACACGCUACAAUGGUCAGUACAACAGGUCGCAAAACCGCGAGGUGGAGCCAAUCCCCAAAACUGACCUCAGUUCAGAUUGCAGGCUGCAACUCGCCUGCAUGAAGUCGGAGUUGCUAGUAACCGCGCGUCAGUUAUAGUGCGGUGAAUACGUUCUCGGGCCUUGCACACACCGCCCGUCACGUCAUGGAAGCUGGUAACACCUGAAGCCGGUAUCCCAACCGCAAGGAGGGAGCUGUCGAAGGUGGGACUGGUGACUGGGACG
rnacentral:rRNA from 1 species